UACGUAGGGUGCAAGCGUUGUCCGGAAUUAUUGGGCGUAAAGAGCUCGUAGGCGGCUCGUCACGUCGGCUGUGAAAACCCGGGGCUCAACCCCCGGGCCUGCAGUCGAUACGGGCGAGCUAGAGUUCGGCAGGGGAGACUGGAAUUCCUGGUGUAGCGGUGAAAUGCGCAGAUAUCCGGAGGAACACCGGUGGCGAAGGCGGGUCUCUGGGCCGAUACUGACGCUGAGAAGCGAAAGCUGGGGAGCGAACAGG
rnacentral:rRNA from 1 species